AAAAAGUCUAAUGAAAAGUCAUGAAGAAUUCAUAAUUGUAGGCUUAGCAUCUCGACGCAGACACAGAAUCAAUUUAAUUAAUGCCAAUGCUUUGGAAAUUCCAUUCGAGUGUGCGGAGAUUGUAGUGAGAAUGUUUCGACCGAGGUAUCAAAUGAACUAACAGCGUCAAAAAAUGGAAAACAGGGAAAAUUGGAUCAAUCAAGUCUUUCGGAGACUUACAUAAAUCAACAUGAAAACUACAUGGAUAAACGACGAUUCGAAAAAUAAAGAGAACAGGUACAUAAGUACUUUGCUGGCACGGCAACAAAAAUUAUACAGACGUAUUCGGCAACGGAAAGCCACUGUGAGAGAAAAAAAUAAAUUAAUUUGUAAAUGGACUGUCCGUUGCUCAAGAUUUCAAAAAAUCAUACCAAACAAAACUAGUGCUGAAAAUGAAGUAUUAAACGCAGUUAAAACGAUUGAACAGCAAGUUGCUGCAGUUGUUAAUGAACGCCUUUUGUACUGCGAAGUACUCGAUCAACAUUUGCAAUAACGAAAAAACACUAUAAUAGCAGCACAAGAUGGAAUUGGUUUUAGAAAACUACUAUCCGACCCUAUAUUAAAAAAAAAAAAAACAAAAGUAUGAAAAAAUUA